UAUCUUCUAGGUAGUUCGGUACGAGACCAUGGACCAUUUUGUGAAAGUGGAUUAUCUUGUGAUGUUUUCGCCUUUGCUAGAGAGGAAGCCAGUCCGUUUAAAGAUGGAAACACCCCCGAGAUAAGAGACUUGUUAAAGAGGACACUGAACGGGAUACAUAGAAUAUCUGCCGCUUCUUUAAGAAGUCAAGGAUUCACAAGAUCAGGACCGACAGCUUAGAACAAUCAAGUCUAAGAAACCAAAAGAAAAAGAUACAAGAGGAAUGAGAGAGUGACAAAUUCGACUGCAACAGAGGAAUGAGAAACAAAGAAGAAUUGACGGAGAGACAACAGAUUGACAGACACAGAGGAGAAAGU